UACGGGGGGGGCAAGCGUUGUUCGGAAUUACUGGGCGUAAAGGGCUCGUAGGCGGCCAACUAAGUCAUACGUGAAAUCCCCCGGCUCAACCGGGGAAGGGGCCGCGAACUGGCGUUCUUGAGGGGGAGAGAGGAGAGCGGAAUUCCUGGUGUAGCGGUGAAAUGCGUAGAGAUCAGGAGGAACACCCAUGGCGAAGGCAGCUCUCUGGCUUCACCCUGACGCUGAGGCGCGAAAGCGUGGGGAGCGAACGGG
rnacentral:rRNA from 1 species